GGCUCGGUGGUGUAGUUGGUCAUCACGUCAGUCUAACAAGCACCCUUAUACCCUUUGAAAAGAGGGCAGAACAGGCCUUGUUAUAUCACUGAAGGUCCCGAGUUCAAACCUCGGCUGAGUCA